GAUCAUGGCUCAGGAUGAACGCUAGCUACAGGCUUAACACAUGCAAGUCGAGGGGCAGCAUUUCAGUUUGCUUGCAAACUGGAGAUGGCGACCGGCGCACGGGUGAGUAACACGUAUCCAACCUGCCGAUAACUCGGGGAUAGCCUCUACGAAAGAAAGAUUAAUACCCGAUGGUAUAAUCAGACCGCAUGGUCUUAGUUAAUUAAAGUAAUUUCGGUUAUCGAGUGGGAUGCGUUCUAG
rnacentral:rRNA from 1 species